rnacentral:snRNA from 1 species
ACAUGACCGACGUGGGUCAAAGUGCAGUAUCUGUUCUUAUCAGCUUAAUAUCUGAUACGGGUUGUAUUUGGACCUAAGAUAUUCAACUUAUUUUUGCAAGUUGGCGGAGUGCUUGAAGCCUGGUUCACCUCCGCCACGGAUCGGCCCAGUAUUGCACUAUCUUCCACAUCAGCCCACCGUUU